rnacentral:rRNA from 1 species
GGAUUAGAAACCCGGGUAGUCCACGCCGUAAACGAUGAAUGCUAGCCGUUGGGCAGCUUGCUGUUCAGUGGCGCAGCUAACGCAUUAAGCAUUCCGCCUGGGGAGUACGGCCGCAAGGUUGAAACUCAAAGGAAUUGACGGGGGCCCGCACAAGCGGUGGAGCAUGUGGUUUAAUUCGACGCAACGCGCAGAACCUUACCAGGGUUUGACAUCCUGCGACCGCCCCCUAAUAGGGGUUUUCCCGCAAGGGACGCAGAGACAGGUGCUGCAUGGCUGUCGUCAGCUCGUGUCGUG